rnacentral:rRNA from 1 species
GGGAAAACCGCUCGCUCGGUGGGAACUCGGAGCUAGCUCUAAGCUACCGAAAUCCGCCCGUCAAGUUGGCCGAAUCGGUAACACCAGAAGCGUCGGGAUAACCCGGCACCAAGGUGGGAUCGGUAAGGAAAGCUAAGUCGUAACAAGGUAUCCGUAGGGGAAUCUGCGGAUGGAUCACCUCCUUU